UAGGGAAUCUUCCACAAUGGGCGCAAGCCUGAUGGAGCAACACCGCGUGAGUGAAGAAGGGUUUCGGCUCGUAAAGCUCUGUUGUUAAAGAAGAACUCGUAUGAGAGUAACUGUUCAUACGUUGACGGUAUUUAACCAGAAAGUCACGGCUAACUACGUGCCG
rnacentral:rRNA from 1 species